CGGGGGAGGCCGGAUCCUGGGCUGUGUCCCGGCGCCCUGUGCUCUGUCGCCUGCGCUGUUGGAUUCGCGCUCCCGGGCCGCGCAGCCCCCU
rfam:Canis lupus familiaris chromosome 13, whole genome shotgun sequence.